rnacentral:SRP_RNA from 1 species
GCCGGGUGCGGUGGCGUGCACCUCAGCUACUCAGGAAGCUGAGGUGACAUCAUUUGCACCCAGGAGUUCUGGGCUGUAGUGCACCCGCAGUGCCCAUCAGGGGCCCACACAAUGUUCAGCAUCAAUAACAGUAACCUCCUUGGAAGCAGGGGAUCACCAGGUUGCCUCAGGGAGGGGUGAACCCAGCCAAGAGGUUGAAAAUAGAACAGGUNCAAAACUCCCACGCAGAUUAGUCAUGGGAUCGUGCCUGUGAAUAGCCACUGCACUCCAGCCUGGGCAACACAGUGCGACCCCGUCUUU